UACGGGGGGGGCAAGCGUUGUUCGGAAUUACUGGGCGUAAAGGGCACGUAGGCGGCCAACUAAGUCGGACGUGAAAUCCCUCAGCUUAACUGGGGAACUGCGUCUGAUACUGGAUGGCUUGGAUUUGGGAGAGGGAUGCGGAAUUCCAGGUGUAGCGGUGAAAUGCGUAGAUAUCUGGAGGAACACCGGUGGCGAAGGCGGCAUCCUGGACCAACAUUGACGCUGAGGAGCGAAAGCCAGGGGAGCAAACGGG
rnacentral:rRNA from 1 species